rnacentral:pre_miRNA from 1 species
GGAGCAUUGCUGAGCAAAUUUCCUUUGGCAGAUACCACAAGUAACAAGAGCUUAAGUUGUUCAUUUGCCAAAGGAGAUUUGCUCACCAAUUCCA